rnacentral:rRNA from 1 species
UACAGAGGUCCCAAGCGUUGUUCGGAUUCACUGGGCGUAAAGGGUGCGUAGGUGGCCAGGUAAGUUUGGUGUGAAAGCUCGGAGCUUAACUCCGAAAAGUCAUUGAAUACUAUCUGGCUGGAGGGUCGGAGGGGAGACUGGAAUUCUCGGUGUAGCAGUGAAAUGCGUAGAUAUCGGGAGGAACACCUGUGGCGAAAGCGGCGCACUGGACCAUAACUGACGCUGAGGCGCGAAAGCUAGGGGAGCAAACAGG